rnacentral:rRNA from 1 species
GGGGAAUCUUCCGCAAUGGACGAAAGUCUGACGGAGCAACGCCGCGUGAGUGAAGAAGGUUUUCGGAUUGUAAAGCUCUGUCGUUUGGGACGAACGUGGAUUGUGUGAAUAAUGCAAUCUAAUGACGGUACCAAAGGAGGAAGCCACGGCUAACUACGUGCCAGCAGCCGCGGUAAUACGUAGGUGGCAAGCGUUGUCCGGAAUUAUUGGGCGUAAAGGGCGUGUAGGUGGUUUUGUAAGCGCGGGGUGAAAGGCAAUGGCUCAACCAUUGUAAGCCUUGCGAACUGCAAGACUUGAGUGCAGGAGAGGAAAGUGGAAUUCCUAGUGUAGCGGUGAAAUGCGUAGAUAUUAGGAGGAACACCAGUGGCGAAGGCGACUUUCUGGACUGUAACUGACACUGAGGCACGAAAGCGUGGGGAGCAAACA